UACAGAGGUCUCAAGCGUUGUUCGGAUUCAUUGGGCGUAAAGGGUGCGUAGGCGGUUCGGCAAGUCACGUGUGAAAUCUCCACGCUCAACGUGGAGGCGCCACGUGAGACUGCUGUGACUCGAGUCCGGUAGGGGAGCGUGGAAUUCCCGGUGUAGCGGUGAAAUGCGCAGAGAUCGGGAGGAACACCCGUAGCGAAGGCGGCGCUCUGGGCCGGUACUGACGCUGAGGAGCGAAAGCGUGGGGAGCAAACAGG
rnacentral:rRNA from 1 species